AAGCAAUUUGCUCAUAGCCAUAGCUUUCUUGUGAAAGUAGGAUAUUAACCCAGGUGUCUUGGUGCUGGAGAACAGAACUGGCCAGAGUCCAUCCUGUCUCCCACCGGCAUCCCAUUACGAAAUGAACACAGAAAAGGCAGGUCUGCAAUGCCAACAUCUAGUAUCUAUCCCAAAGACCAGGGAGAAAGGAAGGAAAGAUUCUGGUUCUGUCCUCUUCCCCAAGGCAAGGCUGGCUGCCCUACCAACAGAGGCAAAGAGAAGAGUGUGCAAGGCUGGCUGCCCUCCCAACAGAGGCAAAGAGGAGUGUGUGUUGAAAUAUCCAUUGAAUCCCUGAGACAACUGGAUCCUGGCCCAUUGAAUCAUAAACUCACUGAAAUUUUUAAUAUAAUGCCUCUUAGCCUGGUUUGGAGAAAACGUCACAGAGAGGCACCAUUUGUUGUGGUUUUACAUGAAAAUUUUCUGACCCUGAACCUGGUUUGAUGGAAAUCAUUUGCUGAGGUUAUUUAGAAAAUUGUUACCUCAAAAAUGACCUAGGGGUCCUUAGAAUAAUAACACACAGAAGAAUAGCCUCAUUUUUCUGUUGGGCCCAGGAAACCAUGCCGAUUACCGACCGAGCUCUCAAUGGAAAAAUGCAGUCGGCGUGAACCACGCACGAACACAGCAGAGAAAGAAGAAAACACACACCACGAGGAACCCUAAUAGGACAAUACAUUAUAAGUCACAGUGCUACGGAGAAACCCAGUAGCCACAUGGAAGCAGAGACCAUGCAUAUGCAUCUACUCCGCAGCUCUGUGAAUGUCAGCAGCUCCCACGGACUGGAGAUCCCGUGAGAUCCCGUGAGAUCUCACCCAUAGCCUCAUGGUACAUCCACUUGGUGUGCUGGGAGAGUCAGGAUGAGGACCUGAGAAGAACAGCAGCUUGAACCUGACUUCAUUUAACAGCCCACUGCCCUCUUGCCAAGAACCCAUCACAGACCUUCCCAGAAGAGAGGGAUGAGCCUCACCUAUGAAUAAGUCCUCAGAAACUCAAAUUUGAUUCUAAUGGAUUGUUUUCUCAGAAAGACUGAGCAUGUCCCCCCACAUCUCUGUCAUUUCCCACAGUAGUAACCUCUGCAGAUGCCACAUAGAAAACAAAACAAAACAAAAAAACAUGAGGUUGGUGGGCAGAUAGGCAGGGUAUAAACAAACAGCCUUGUAACCCAGAAGCUGUGUGAUAUACAGUAAACUUCACAACACUGAAAAGAUGUCCUAUCUGUUAAAAUGGGGUAAUAACAACUACCCGAAUGUUUAGGAAUAGAACUUCAAUAAAUGAUACAUUUUAUAGUACAGCAGACCAUCCUGUAAAGGUUUCAUCCUUCACUGUGGUGAUAAAUAUCCCAAACCACAUUGAAAAGCAUUGCAUCUACAUUUAUCUACACUGUAACUGUACUGUAAAUCAUGGGGGAGGGGAGAAUCAUAAAAACACCACCUGUCACCGUGUCAUUAAAGCAAGUUGGAAGUGAUACUUACAGAAACACAGCAAGAGCACCCCCAGUCACACAGUUCAAUCUCUUAGCAAGCGUUUUCUUUCUAGCCCAGUGGUUCUCAGUUUGGAAUUUUUGGCACUGCCUAGAGAUAGUUUUGUUGUUAAAACUGAGAAAAGAGCCGGGCGUGGUGGCACACGCCUUUAAUCCCAGCACUCAGGAGGCAGAGGCAGG
rnacentral:lncRNA from 1 species